GGAACGGUAGCUCAGUGGUAGAGCAGCGGAUUGCAGAUCCGAAGGUCGCGUGUUCGAUCCACGCUCGUUCCU